AUUUAGGAGCAGCCUGAGUAUGAUUCAGCAAAAGCACCUUGCACAGAAGGAGCAACAGGAAGGGAGGCACAGAGAACUGCAAGGAAAUGCUGAAGGGUUUGACAACGUGAUGAGGAAAACAAAUUGAAAGCACCAAUUUCUGGGGUCUGAAACUUUCCACUUUCCUGUACAGCAACAUGAUCCCAGUUUCAGUUAUGAUUUCACACAGAACUGCCCUACCCAAGAGUUUGUUGUCUGCACAUCAGGAAGCUG